UUUUUCCUGCCACCGAAUACAUUAGCAUGGGAUAAUGGAAUAGCGACCCUGACCUCCUAUUUUCAGUUGGUUUUGUUUACAGCGAGGUUAUAUCAGGGUAAUGAUUAAUAGGGAUAGUUGGGGGCAUUAAUAUUUAAUUGUCAGAGGUGAAAUUCUUGGAUUUAUGAAAGAUUAACUUCUGCGAAAGCGUUUGCCAAGGAUGUUUUCAUUAAUCAAGAACGAAAGUUAGGGGAUCGAAGACGAUCAGAUACCGUCGUAGUCUUAACCAUAAACGAUGCCGACCAGCGAUUAGGAGACGUUGAAUACAAAACACCGCUGUUAAUCCUUUCGGGGGUUAAUAGUUGGUGAAUGACUCCCUAGCAGCUUGUGG
rnacentral:rRNA from 1 species